GAUGAACGCUGGCGGCGUGCCUAAUACAUGCAAGUCGAGCGAACGGACGAGAAGCUUGCUUCUCUGAUGUUAGCGGCGGACGGGUGAGUAACACGUGGAUAACCUACCUAUAAGACUGGGAUAACUUCGGGAAACCGGAGCUAAUACCGGAUAAUAUUUUGAACCGCAUGGUUCAAAAGUGAAAGACGGUCUUGCUGUCACUUAUAGAUGGAUCCGCGCUGCAUUAGCUAGUUGGUAAGGUAACGGCUUACAAAGGCAACGAUGCAUAGCCGACCUGAGAGGGUGAUCGGCCACACUGGAACUGAGACACGGUCCAGACUCCUACGGGAGGCAGCAGUAGGGAAUCUUCCGCAAUGGGCGAAAGCCUGACGGAGCAACGCCGCGUGAGUGAUGAAGGUCUUCGGAUCGUAAAACUCUGUUAUUAGGGAAGAACAUAUGUGUAAGUAACUGUGCACAUAUUGACGGUACCUAAUCAGAAAGCCACGGCUAACUACGUG
rnacentral:rRNA from 1 species